AUGUGGUCAAGGACAAGGGGUCCACACUCACCCCUGUCAGAGGUGUCUUGUCUGCCCAACACUUUGUCCAGGGCAUCAAGAACCUGGAGAGAAGCCCCAUGGGACCCUCCAUCUGCUAACAGUACGGCCGGGAUCUCUGCUGCAGAGAGUGAACCGCACAUACAAAGUGAUCCUGGGAAAGCCUCAGUGUUUCCAUCUGUAAAGUGGGGACCUAGGCAAACACCCUGGAGAACCCUUUAUUCUUGGAUGAAAGCAAAAAAGGACCCAAGGUUGUGCUCAUCAGGCAGCUGAGGAGGUAAUGGGCUUCCCAGGGAGAGGAGGUACGGGGGGGAAAGCCCUGGAAGGAGUAGAGGU
rnacentral:lncRNA from 1 species